rnacentral:rRNA from 1 species
AUUGAACGCUGGCGGCAGGCCUAACACAUGCAAGUCGAACGAGUGGCGGACGGGUGAGUAAUGUCUGGGAAACUGCCUGAUGGAGGGGGAUAACUACUGGAAACGGUAGCUAAUACCGCAUACCAUCAGAUGUUCCCAGAUGGGAUUAGCUAGUUGGUGGGGUAACGGCUCACCAAGGCGACGAUCCCUAGCUGGUCUGAGAGGAUGACCAGCCAAACUGGAACGGAGACACGGUCCAGACUCCGACGGGAGGCAGCAGGGGGGAAAAUUGCACAAGGGGCGAAAGCCUGAUGCAGCCAUGCGGCGUGUAUGAAGAAGGCCUUCGGGUUGUAAAGUACUUUCAGCGGGGAGGCGUUACCCGCAGAAGAAGCACCGGCUAACUCCGUGCCAGCCGCCGCGGUAAUUC